rnacentral:tRNA from 1 species
GCAUCAGUCGCCUAGUGGUCUAUGGCGCCUGCCUUCCAAGCAGGAAAUUAUCGCGGGUUCGAAUCCCGCCUGGUGCUCCA